rnacentral:tRNA from 1 species
GGCAUUCUAUCUUAAACUACUCUCUG